rnacentral:other from 1 species
GGCCCUCUGUGAUGUUCGCCGGCGGGUUCGUUAAAUGCCUUGUCCCUAUAUGUUGACCUCGGGUUGGCGAAUCUGAGAGCCGGUGUGCAUGUUCGCAUUCUGGCGAAAAGCCUGAAGCCCAGCGAGCCGGCCCACCUGAACCGUUGGUUCAAGGUCACCGAAUUCGCAGCGACAUCAUGGAGGGCAC